CAGCAGCCGCGGUAAUACAGAGGGUGCGAGCGUUAAUCGGAUUUACUGGGCGUAAAGCGUGCGUAGGCGGCUAAUUGAGUCGGAUGUGAAAUCCCCGAGCUUAACUUGGGAAUUGCAUUCGAUACUGGGAAGCUAGAGUAUGGGAGAGGAUGGUAGAAUUCCAGGUGUAGCGGUGAAAUGCGUAGAGAUCUGGAGGAAUACCGAUGGCGAAGGCAGCCAUCUGGCCUAAUACUGACGCUGAGGUACGAAAGCAUGGGGAGCAAACAGGAUUAGAUACCCCUGUAGUCCCUGUCUCUUAUAC
rnacentral:rRNA from 1 species